rnacentral:lncRNA from 1 species
AAAAAUAUAUAUAUGGAAAGGAAAAGUUUUAACACAACAUUAUGAGAUGAGGAACUUCCAAAGAUGCCACUGAGUGCAUGAUCUGUUGGCAUCUCCUGCUGGGCAGGCAGCCUACCCUUAAGAGUAGUUUAUUUCCCAGUGAGACUCCCUUGGAGAUAACUAAAUUUUCAUUUGCAAGUGGUUAUCAGUUGGAGAUAUCUUCUGGGUCAGAAACUGUGGCCUCCUUUCAGCUUUAGGACACAGUCUGGUACUGUGAGUCGGGCAGGCCCUGUCUGCCUCUGUCUCUGUGUGAUCAAGUAUGCAUCGAUCCUGUAGAUAGAGAGGACCUUGUUUCCCUGGUGUCCUCUAUCCACUCUAGCUCUUAUAUAAUCUUCCAGCCUUCUCUUCUGCAGGUUUCCCUGAGUCUACAGGGGACUUGAUGGAGAUGUUCCAUUUAGGGCUGAGUGUUCAAAGGUCUGUCACUCUCUGCAGAAUAUCUGUACUUAUUUCUAUAUGCUAUAGGAAAUAGGAAGCUUCGCUGAUGAUGGUUGAACAAGGCACUGAUUUAUGAGUAUAGUAAAAAUGUCAUAUGGAGUCAUUUUACUGAUACCUUGUGCUCUGGGGCUAUCUAGUCUUAGUUUUGGCCAUCCAAGCAGUAUAGGUUAUGGGUUCCAUCUCAUGGCGUGGGAGUGAGCCGUAAGCCAAAUCAUGUAUUAGUUGGUUACUCCCACAAGCUUCAUACCACCACUGAGCUCUUGUGUCUUAUGGUCAGGGCACCACUGUAGAUCAGAGAGUUUAUGACUGGGUGUGGUGCUUGUUUCUCUUUUGGUAGCAUGCAGAAUACCAGAGACACUAGCAUGUAGGGUGAAGGCUGCAUGUAGGCACCAGCUCAACAUCUCCGUGUUCAGUGAGUUGUGUCGAUGUUGUCUUCAGCAGCGGGGCUUUGCUAUCCGUUUGUAGAGAGCAUCUAUAGCUGUCUCAUAUUCUCUGCACUUCAACUGGUUGUGGGUCUCUGUGUUAGUUGCUAUUUACUGCAAGUAGAAUCUUCUCUAGUGUGAAUUGAGAGAUGCAUUGAUCUAUAACGAUUUAUUUUCAUUUAUGUGUAUGUUGGUAAAGGGCCAGAAGCAGCUUUCUUGUGGUUGCUGGGUAAUAGUGAAACUAAGAAAAGGGAUGAUUGACAGGGAGACCAGUUAGGAGAUGACAUCGAGAUCCAUGCCGAAAGGUAAAACCUCUUCCCCGUGGUUAUAUAGUAGAAAGUGAAUUUAAGAGAAAUGCUCUUAAAAACCAGUCUUGACCUCAAACAGUUGUAAUGUGUUGUGCCCAGAACCACAGGCAUAUAGUUCAUAAGAAGGAGAUGAGACAUGAGGAUCACAAGCCAGAAAGGGCUGUCAGAUGAGUUCAUGGGCAGAGCAGUGAAAUUCUAUCUCAGGAUAAAAAGUUUUAAAAAACAACAAAACAAAACCCUAUGGAUAUUAGCUCAGUGGUAUGGUAGAGUUUAUUCCCUAGCACUGACAGAAAGACUGCAGAGAAAUGUGUCAGGCAAGCGCCACCCAGUGGGCACUUGCCACGCGCCUCUCAGUCUUGUGCCAGUCAACCCUUACCUCCUUGAUUCCACAACCAACCACUUUAUAAAGUGCUCACUUUACAAAGAAAGGAACUGCUGGGAGUGGUGGCACGUCGUGGCACAUGGCGGCAGAAGCAGGUGGAUUUCUGUGAGUUCUAGGUUAGGCUGGUCUAUACGAUAAGGCCAGCCUGAGCUACAUAGUGAGGCUCUGUCUCACCUGCACCACCACUCUCCUCCCCCGCCCUUCCCCGCCCCCCCCCCCCCCCCAAUAACAAACUUUGGCUCCAGGAGACGUGGUGUGAUCAAUAAGGCAAAUAACUAAAGCGCAGCAGAGCCAGGAUUAGAAGAGAAGUGGAGGUAGAGUUUUCUCAUCUCAAAGUCCUCACUUGCCAUCAAUCAAUAGCCAUAGCCCCUCCCACAAUCGCCACCCUGUCUUUCACAGCGGCUCCUGAAAGACAAACUCAUGCUGUACUCUAUGCCCCCGCCAGAUGGGGCAAGAACCGCAUGGGCAUCAGGGGAUCCUGAGGGUCCAGGGUCGGGUAGGGCUCUUGUUACAGAGCCAUGCCUUGUCCCGGAAGCUAGGCUGCAUGCAGAAUCUAUGUGCACACUCCUGAGAGAACUGAUGGGAGCCAGACCAGGAGUAGGGGCUUGGGUGGCCAUCCUAAACACACAGUCUCCCACCUGCCUAUUGAGAAACCUCUGUAGGACUGACUGCAUUCUUUAAACAGGCUAAAAGAGUCUGGAGAGAAGGCAGGGAAAGGAACUUCGCGGCCUGAGGAUCUGCAGCUCAUAGGCCGCCUGCAGACACGGCUGAAGGAGAGAGAAGACAUCAUCCGGCAGCUAACGGUGAGGCCUUGGCUCACAGUCAGGGUGUUGGCUUUGAACCUGACAUUUCUAUAGCUACCUAAACAUUGUCUGUCGAUCUUUCAUUAUUUCCUCCUAUUACUAAGAAGUACUCAUACCAAAGACACUGGC